CAGCCGCCGCGGUAAUACGAAGGUCCCGAGCGUUGUUCGGAAUCACUGGGCGUAAAGGGAGCGUAGGCGGCGCGGUAAGUCAGAUGUGAAAUCCCGGGGCUCAACCCCGGAACUGCAUCCGAUACUGCCGUGCUUAGAGGAUUGGAGAGGUAGCUGGAAUUCUUGGUGUAGCAGUGAAAUGCGUGGAUAUCAAGAGGAACACUCGUGGCGAAAGCGAGCUACUGGACAACUCCUGACGCUGAGGCUCGAAGGCCAGGGUAGCGAAAGGGAUUAGAUACCCCUGUAGUCCUGGCAGUAAACGGUGCACGCUUGGUGUGAGGGGAUUCGACCCCCCUCGUGCCGGAGCAAACGCGUUAAGCGUGCCGCCUGGGAAGUACGGUCGCAAGACUAAAACUCAAAUGAAUUGACGG
rnacentral:rRNA from 1 species